UACGUAGGGUGCGAGCGUUGUCCGGAUUUAUUGGGCGUAAAGAGCUCGUAGGCGGUUUGUCGCGUCGGCCGUGAAAUCUCCACGCUUAACGUGGAGCGUGCGGUCGAUACGGGCAGGCUAGAGUUCGGUAGGGGAGACUGGAAUUCCUGGUGUAGCGGUGAAAUGACGCAGAUAUCAGGAGGGAACACCGGUGGGCGAAGGCG
rnacentral:rRNA from 1 species